CCCUGAUCCACUUCCUUUUUUCCAAAGCACUUUGUUGUUGUUCAAUCUCUCAUCCUAGGGGAAAAAGUGAAAGUGAAAGUCGCUCAGUCGUGUCCGACUCUUUGUCCAUGGAAUUCUCCAGGCCAGAACACUGGAGUGGUCUCUUCCCUUCUCCAGGGGAUCUUCCGAACCCAGGGAUCAAACCCAGGUCUCCCGCAUUGCAGGCGGAUUCUUCACCGACUGAACUAUCAGAGAAGCCCUCAUCCUCGGGGACUGGAAUGCAAAAGUAGGAGGUCAAGGAUACGCAUUAACAGUUGGAGGAUGCUUUACAAUAUUGUGUUGGCUUCUGCCAUACAUCAACAUGAAUCUGCCACAGGCUCAGCGGAGGUCAAGUAUCUCUCCUCGUCCCUUGACUUUGAACUUGGCCAAUGAUGGUGUGUCAGUUUCCAACUCUAGACCUUGGGAAGCCUCCCACGUUUCUGCAUCACGCUUACAGGAUCUGUUUCCUGACCAGGAAUUGAAUGUGGGCCACAGCAGUGAAAGUGCCAAAUUCUAACCACUAGACCAGGGAGGAGCAGGGGACGACAGAAAAUGAGAUGGUUGGAUGGCAUCACCAACGCAAUGGACAUGAGUUUGAGCAAGCUCCGGGAGUUGGUGAUGGAGAAGCCUGGUGUGCUGCAGUCCAUGGGGUCACAAGGAGUCGGACACGACUGAGUGACUGAACUGAACUGAACUGAACUGAGACCAGGGAACUCCCUAUAUAUAUAUAUAUAUGUAUAUAUACUUUUUUCCUGGUUAAUGUAUUUAUUAUGUAACUGUUAGUUCUGAG
ensembl:lncRNA